UUCCGUAGGUGAACCUGCGGAAGGAUCAUUGUAGAAACAU
rnacentral:rRNA from 1 species